rnacentral:rRNA from 1 species
GAUGAACGCUGGCGGCGUGCUUAACACAUGCAAGUCGAACGAAGCACUUUAUUUGAUUUCCUUCGGGACUGAUUAUUUUGUGACUGAGUGGCGGACGGGUGAGUAACGCGUGGGUAACCUGCCUUGUACAGGGGGAUAACAGUUGGAAACGGCUGCUAAUACCGCAUAAGCGCACGGCAUCGCAUGAUGCAGUGUGAAAAACUCCGGUGGUAUAAGAUGGACCCGCGUUGGAUUAGCUAGUUGGUGAGGUAACGGCCCACCAAGGCGACGAUCCAUAGCCGACCUGAGAGGGUGACCGGCCACAUUGGGACUGAGACACGGCCCAAACUCCUACGGGAGGCAGCAGUGGGGAAUAUUGCACAAUGGGCGAAAGCCUGAUGCAGCGACGCCGCGUGAGCGAAGAAGUAUUUCGGUAUGUAAAGCUCUAUCAGCAGGGAAGAUAAUGACGGUACCCGACUAAGAAGCACCGGCUAAAUACGUG